rnacentral:tRNA from 1 species
GUCACCGUAGCUCAGUUGGUUAGAGCGAUUCUCUCAUAAGGAAUAGGUCGGUGGUUCGAGCCCACCCGGUGACA